GUUCUAAGCCACUACCUAAGGACUAUACAUGGACUGACCCUGGACUCUGACCUCAUAGGUAGCAAUGAACAGCCUACUCCUGUAUAAGCAUUUACUGGUAUGGCAGAUAACUUGAUAUAAGUGAUGGGAAUGGAAUGAAAUAACAUGAGAAACUUUGGAUUAUAACUUGAACAAAAUAAAUUACAGACUACCAUAUAGUCCUAAACUCCACUGAUAUUUGAAGAAGUUAUGUAGCUUCUGCUCCCGGCUUUUCAUCUACGAACUGUACUAAGUUUCCUUGACUUUGGACUUUGGAUAUUCUAACAGUGAAGAAAGUACAUACAAUAAUUGCAUGAAACAGCAGUUUAUUAUUUUCUUCUCACAACUGUGGAUGUAUAAGACAAGAGCUUCAAGUUCCUACUGCACUGAUACUCCAUGAAAUAGAUGCUACCCUGGAAUUAUGAAGCAAAUUCCCCCAGCAACUUGAGCUGGGUCUGCCUUUGAUGCUGUGGACCUUCUGUGGAAUUCUUUGCUCAACAGAAAUCACCUGUCUGACUGCAGCGGCCUUCAAAGACUUGAUGCUUCGAAGUUGGGCCUCCACCCUCUCAAAGGAGAAGAACUCAUUUCGUCGAGAUUAGAAUAUACUGAAGACCAGAAGAGACAUACAGCGUACUGGAU
ensembl:lncRNA